CUGGAGUCCUUCAUUCUGGAGAUGGCAGGUGUUCAUGUCAAAUUUGGACCAAAUGGAGAAAUGAUUUGAGGGAAGACGACAUAAUAACAAGCGGAAAUGGGUAUUGACACAGUGUGCGAAAGGGAACAGCAGGACACAGAUUCUGAGCAUUGAUUUUGAGUCUUUCCCUGGUUGCCUUGAUUGAUAGACAAGAACGUAUUUCAAACUAAGAAAAUGUCGCCUUUUGGAAUAAGCAGACAGAAGGUCUAUUACUGCAUUAUAGUUUAUACCCCAAAGUUAGAAUUCCAUGUGUUAAUUGCUAAUAGAACAG